AAUAGUUCUGUUAGUGAACACAUACUCAGAAUGUCUGGGUUGCACAACCGCUUGUCUCAGCUGCGAGUUAAUCUCCCGGAUGACGCGGUCAUUGACAGAAUCCUUCAGUCGCUUCCACCAAGCUACAAGAGCUUUGUGAUGAACUUCAAUAUGCAGGGGAUGGAAAAGACCAUUCCUGAGGUAUAUUCAAUGCUGAAAUCAGCGGAGGUGGAGAUCAGAAAAGAACAUCAAGUGUUGAUGGUGAAUAAAACCACUAAGUUCAAGAAGGGCAAGGGUAAGAAGAACUUCAAGAAGGACGGCAAGGGAGUUGCUGCGCCGGUAAGCCAGUUACCGGGAAGAAGUCAAAGAAUGGACCCAAGCCUGAGACUGAGU
rnacentral:rRNA from 1 species